rnacentral:rRNA from 1 species
AGAACCUGAAACCGUGUACGUACAAGCAGUGGGAGCACCCUUUUGGGUGUGACUGCGUACCUUUUGUAUAAUGGGUCAGCGACUUAUAUUCUGUAGCAAGGUUAACCGAAUAGGGGAGCCGGAGGGAAACCGAGUCUUAAUUGGGCGUUAAGUUGCAGGGUAUAGACCCGAAACCCGGUGAUCUAGCCAUGGGCAGGUUGAAGGUUGGGUAACACUAACUGGAGGACCGAACCGACUAAUGUUGAAAAAUUAGCGGAUGACCUGUGGCUGGGGGUGAAAGGCCAAUCAAACCGGGAGAUAGCUGGUUCUCCCCGAAAGCUAUUUAGGUAGCGCCUCGUGAAUUCAUCUCCGGGGGUAGAGCACUGUUUCGGCUAGGGGGCCAUCCCGGCUUACCAACCCGAUGCAAACUGCGAAUACCGGAGAAUGUUAUCACGGGAGACACACGGCGGGUGCUAACGUCCGUCGUGAAGAGGGAAACAACCCAGACCGCCAGCUAAGGUCCCAAAGUCAUGGUUAAGUGGGAAACGAUGUGGGAAGGCACAGACAGCCAGGAUGUUGGCUUAGAAGCAGCCAUCAUUUAAAGAAAGCGUAAUAGCUCACUGGUCGAGUCGGCCUGCGCGGAAGAUGUAACGGGGCUAAACCAUGCACCGAAGCUGCGGCAGCGACGUUUAUGCGUUGUUGGGUAGGGGAGCGUUCUGUAAGCCUGCGAAGGUGGCCUGUGAGGGUUGCUGGAGGUAUCAGAAGUGCGAAUGCUGACAUAAGUAACGAUAAAGCGGGUGAAAAGCCCGCUCGCCGGAAGACCAAGGGUUCCUGUCCAACGUUAAUCGGGGCAGGGUGAGUCGACCCCUAAGGCGAGGCCGAAAGGCGUAGUCGAUGGGAAACGGGUUAAUAUUCCCGUACUUGGUGUUACUGCGAAGGGGGGACGGAGAAGGCUAUGUUGGCCGGGCGACGGUUGUCCCGGUUUAAGCGUGUAGGCUGGUUUUCCAGGCAAAUCCGGAAAAUCAAGGCUGAGGCGUGACGACGAGGCACUACGGUGCUGAAGCAACAAAUGCCCUGCUUCCAGGAAAAGCCUCUAAGCAUCAGGUAACAUCAAAUCGUACCCCAAACCGACACAGGUGGUCAGGUAGAGAAUACCAAGGCGCUUGAGAGAACUCGGGUGAAGGAACUAGGCAAAAUGGUGCCGUAACU